rnacentral:rRNA from 1 species
AGUGAACGCUGGCGGUAGGCCUAACACAUGCAAGUCGAACGGCAGCACAGUAAGAGCUUGCUCUUACGGGUGGCGAGUGGCGGACGGGUGAGGAAUACAUCGGAAUCUACUUUUUCGUGGGGGAUAAUGUAGGGAAACUUACGCUAAUACCGCAUACGACCUACGGGUGAAAGCAGGGGAUCUUCGGACCUUGCGCGAUUGAAUGAGCCGAUGUCGGAUUAGCUAGUUGGCGGGGUAAAGGCCCACCAAGGCGACGAUCCGUAGCUGGUCUGAGAGGAUGAUCAGCCACACUGGAACUGAGACACGGUCCAGACUCCUACGGGAGGCGGCAGUGGGGAAUAUUGGACAAUGGGCGCAAGCCUGAGCCAGCCAUACCGCGUGGGUGAAGAAGGCCUUCGGGUUGUAAAGCCCUUUUGUUGGGAAAGAAAAGCAGCAGGUUAAUACCCCGCUGUUCUGACGGUACCCAAAGAAUAAGCACCGGCUAACUUCGU